GGGAGGAAGGACGACACCCUCCGCUCCCUGUGAUGGACACUGCCACUGGGAAGGGAGACCGGUUGUCUCCUCCACCUGAAACUCACACUGCUGCUGGGGAGUGAGACCGACCGCCUCCACUCCCAGUAACUCCUGCUGCUGCUGGGAAGAGAGACCGACCAUCUCCUCUCCCUGUGUUGCCCACUGCCACUGGAAAGUGAGACCGACCGUCUCCUCUCCCUGAAACUCAUGCUGCUG